rnacentral:rRNA from 1 species
UACAGAGGUCCCAAGCGUUGUUCGGAUUCAUUGGGCGUAAAGGGUGCGUAGGCGGCGCGGUAAGUCGGGUGUGAAAUCUCGGGGCUUAACUCCGAAACUGCAUUCGAUACUGCCGUGCUUGAGGACUGGAGAGGAGACUGGAAUUUACGGUGUAGCGGUGAAAUGCGUAGAUAUCGGGAGGAACACCGGUGGCGAAGGCGGUUCUCUGGGCCUUACCUGACGCUGAGGAGCGAAAGCGUGGGGAGCGAACAGG